GUGCCCUGAACCGCCACCCAAGAAAAGAAAGCGUGAGACCCAUCAUAGUAGUGCUGGCAAUUUGCCACACUCUGUUUGCCACUGAUUUUUGUUCCUUACGAUAGAGGGCUGCAGUGUUUCCUCACAGGACUGUGCAAUAGUCCAGGACUAGAUCUUUACUAUGUUCAGGGUAAUCCCUUUGACUUUCAUACAGGCCUUUCCUCCUGACAGCUUGUACCUGUACAUUUUCGGGCCUGCUGACACAAACUCAGUGUUGUGUUGAUCUGGCGGAAUCUCACUCGUGAGGUCCCCUAAAUAAUCCCUCAGGGGGGUGGAUAAUGAGAAGCCGCCACACUCAUCAGGGUGUCUCACAAGCAGUUGAGUUUCAGGGUUGGGUUCCGGCGUAUCCAUCAACAACUGGGCCAAAGGACUCCCCUCGGCCACUCCCUCCUCCUCCUCCUCCUCCUCCUCGGAACUGUUGCUGAUGUAGCACUUUCUCUGUGGAUAGUUGAAGGCCCUUGGGGCUAAAACAAAGUCCGAAGUUCUCACAGGAAUGGUGAAGGAGUCCACGUUUCCUCUCAGCAUUUCUACGAUUUCUAGAACAUGCACUCUUUGUAAGAGAUGGCCUCUUCUGCCCAGGGCUGGCACUUAUGGGGUGGUGGUACUGCACUCUGAUUGGCAGUGGGUGGUGCGAAGAGUUCUUAGAGGGGUCACACGACCCUCUUCUGGGCAGUUCAUCCCGCCCCAGAAGCUGCCCUAGUUUGGCCAAAUCUGCUCUCGGGGCGAUCCUCUGUGGCUGAAGCCCAUCCCGACUGGUAGAGGGCAGUGGGAGGAGUUCUUAGAGGGGUCAUAUGACACACCUUGCUUCCAGUCAUGUGUCCGGCUUCACCCCAGAAGUAAUAAACCAGGGGCUGGGAUUUCUGGUGACAGGGGGGCGGGGCUUAAAGGGUCAAGACAUGGGGUUAAAGUUUGGUUGACGGUAGGGCCCUUAUACUACUCUUCUGUUCUGUACGGUAACUAAGGACUUUCUCUGCUGUGUCCCAGACAGCUAAUAAACCCCCUGCUGUUACCCGGCAGUCUGAGAGUCACAGCAGUUUAAGGCAGGUGGGGGUGUAUUGCUCCCCUUGGAUGUGCAAGUCUCUGUCUCAGGUGUCCAAUUCAGGUGGACUCACUCAGGGGAGCUCACAGGGUGACCCAGGGUUGCUAAAGGCUCCAAGGUUCGAUCCCUGGAGGCACUGAAGCCAAAUGCCUUCCCCAGACAGAGACUGUGACCUGAAGGGAGCUGGAGUGUGGAUGGGGCCCUCUCAGGGACUGUUCCAGAGCUGCUUAUCACUUCUGGGGUGAAGCCGGACACAUGACCGGAAGCAAGGUGUGUCAUGUGACCCCUCUAAGAACUCCCCCAGAGCUGCUCAAGAGCACGGCACCCGAGGCUCUGUGACUGGGUGGGCUUCAGAUUCCCAGCGACUCGCCCUUCAAACAGCAGGAAAAGCAGGGGCUCGCCUCUCACUUUGACAGAGACAGACCUGCUAUUCCCAGAUGAGAUCGCUCCAUAAAAUUCCCAUCUCCACUCUCCACAGGUGUAUGGUCCAGCAUUUCCCUUUUCAACCGUGAGCUCCAGCCGGGCUCCUGCAUUCGACUGUUGGACUAUGCUUGAGCCAUCCUGCCCUUCUUGAGGGAAGAAUCUGAAUCCUGAAACCUGCUCACACAAAGGAGCCGAGCACCUGAGAACCUUGCUUCCCUCCAGGCUGAAAUUCAAGGGGAGCAAUUGCAGCCCAAAUGGGUCACCUUGUGGAGAUAAUGCAAGGCAGAGAAUGAAGGGCCCCCUUCCCAGAACAAGCCAGUUACCUGGAUCUAGAAGCAGCAGCGGGAGAUGAGGAAGAUGAGGCUGUUGAUGAGGAAGAAGGAGCCACCCACCACAAGCUUCUGGACCCAGAGGAAGCUGCGAGCUGCGGAGAGAGGAGAAUCAAGAAUAGAACCGGCAGGUGAACAAUGCUGAGCGUGAUGCACAUGAUGUCCGUGUGUCUGCACUUCUAGGACUCAUGUCAAACUCUCCUGGAUCUCAAGAGCCAUCAAGACGCCAUACCACAGCAAGCAGGGAGUCCGCUCAGAUCACUUUGGCAAUUAGGAGCACA